CUUCAUUCAAUGCCAAUCUCUUCAAAUGACACAUCCCCACACUCCCAUUUGCGCUCUUUGAACUCUGCCACCAACCAAAGUCUCGCUCAUCGAUUUUCAGAGUUGCAUUCCAUUUGCCUUGGGAGCAAGGGAGAGGGAGCAAGAGCAACAAAGAGCGACCGCCAUGUGUUUUCUCGUGCGUGUGUGAGUGUAACGAGAUCAGUACAUCUUGUACAUUUCGGACUCUUGCAGAGUUCACAGCCGCAUUUGGUCCCGUUCUUUUUGUUUUUUUUUCUUUUGACAUUUCCCCAACGACGGCUCUGAGCGGCGUUUUUAAAAAUUACGCUCUGUUUACUUUUUUCACGGCCCAGGAAAGGAGAGGAGAGAUGAGGAGCGCUGAGAAUAAGGGGGAGCGAAGCGCAGAAUAGCCGCUGCCGGCGUCGCAUCAGGUGUUUUCAUUUCGCUGGCCGCGCUCUGUUUUGGUCAGUAUUUCCAUUACGAUAGGGCCACGCAUUGAAGACGGUUCAACUUUCAUACUUAAGCGCACACUUUGAAUAAACGAUAGAGUGGCGGAAAAGCGCCAAAGUUAAAGUGCAAAUGCAAAUGAGUGGUUAAAAAUUUCUAGGAAUACGGGUCGGAUUCGAUACGAGACAAACGGUGCUAUUCAAAGCACCAGACAGGCUUGCUUAUCUUUGGUACAGUCUGGACUUGGUCACUAUAUUAUAAAUUUAAAUAAAGAUUUGAAGUAGAUAAGUCUAUCAAAGUCCAGGAACUUUUAAUUAAGCGACGUUUGCUGUUGGACUUGUUGAAUUUAGCAAUCUAAAAUAGUGACAUUCAAAAUGCAAGGGUUUAGAGUUUAGGAAAUGGGUUAAGAUCAAACCGAAAAUAAAACUUAAAAACACCAAACCAUUCAA